GUCACAAUGCCACUGUAGCAAUGGCAAUGUACUGUCCAAAGACAUACAAUGGAAACUGGUUUAUCUAAGCCUAAUUGCAACCAUUGGAUCUGCUAGGGCAGAUUUUCCCAGUCCCCAUCAUUCGACUUCUGCCAUCAGCAGGCUGAGAAUUAACCCUUUGUCUGUGUCAUAAGGGUAUCCAGAUGCCCCAAGAAUCUGAAAUUGGAAUCCAUAACCUAGGAUUAGGUUCACUCUGCAAUGCAAGGGAAAAGAGGGGCAAAAUCUCUGUGGUGAGCGCAGGACCAGAGAAGAUAAUGCAGUUGAUAAGAUGUUCUGUUGUACUCUCAGCUGAUCCCUAACUCAUCUUGUUUGCCCUGGAGCUCUGAGAAUUCUCACAGACAUCAUCUUCCUUGGUCAAAAUUAAGACCACCUGCUUUUGCAGAGUGCAGAGCCUGGUGUUCAACCCCAGCCACAAUUUUCCACAGAGGAAAGGGACCAUUUUCCAUUCCUUCAGAUUCAAAUCCUGGAGGUUAUCCUGACCAGCUAUGAAGAAAUCUAUGGAGAAAGGACAAGUGACCUUGGCUGGCUGCCAGAUGCCCACCAAACUUCUCUCACUCCCCCUCCUCAAUGGGACAGGAGGAAAAAUAUGACUGAAGAGCUCACACACAGCCUGGGACAUCCCUCACCAGUUGCCAUAAUGGGCAAACCAGACUCAGCUUGGGGAGGACUGCUUUGCUUUCUCAGCAAUUCCCAACAGAGCGGCAAGCUGAGUAACAAAGACAAAACUGAAACCACCUCACUCCCACUCUCCCUCCUCCUGGCUGUGAACACACCUGGUGCAGGUGGCUGGCCAGCUGCAAUGCCAGAUGCAAGCUGAGCUCCAGGUGGGAGCCCAAGACAAGAGCAUGUGAAUGGCCAACAAAGCACAACAAAGGGCACCAAGAGAGGUGGCACAGCUGGGGGAGGGACACCGAGAGACCCAGCAGGAGCUGAGGGCCCUGGAGGAAGAGCCAGGCUUGAGCCUUGGGCAUGCAGACUGUGAGGGGAUAAAACCAAGGGAUUCCUUUGUUGGGGUCCCUCCUCAGAGGCACCAGCGCAGGCUGCUCCUGUGUUAGUGCACUGGGAAUAAAUGGCUUUAUGGAAUCAGACAUCUGAGACUCUGCUCUGGGAAACCUGGGC